AUACGGAGGAUCCAAGCGUUAUCCGGAUUUAUGGGUUUAAAGGGAGCGUAGGUGGACGUAUAAGUCAGUUGUGAAAGUUUGCGGCUCAACCGUAAAAUUGCAGUUGAUACUGUAUGCCUUGAGUGUACAAGAGGUGGGCGGAAUUCGUGGUGUAGCGGUGAAAUGCUUAGAUAUCACGCAGAACUCCGAUUGCGAAGGCAGCUUACUAAGUUACAACUGACACUGAAGCACGAAAGCGUGGGGAUC
rnacentral:rRNA from 1 species